rnacentral:lncRNA from 1 species
AUUAAGAACAUUUUAAAAGAACAUGUCCUCAGUUUGUAUCCCGUAUGUAUUUAAUAACGUUUUAUAUAAUAUAUAUAUAUAUAUAUAUAUUCCAUUUACAUACAGGAAUCAACAGUAUGGAGGCGCAUAACUGCAGGCCCCAAGAAAUUUUACAGGAUUAUAUACGCAUGGCCAAAUCACAAGUUUCACUCGAAAGAGGGAGGAACAAAUCCCAGAAGAAAUUUCGAGCCAAUGCGGACGUGCCGAGCAUCACCAGCCGUGAACAGUACCUCACACAGCCAAGGGGCCCACGACCCAGAGACUACUUCUUACGAGUCCUGCCACUUCGUCUCCACUACCACCUACCAAUUACUCUCUUGUGCAGCCAACUAAGAGGAUGCAGGUACCAAACAUUGACCAUUAAUGACAUUUUUUCCCCUGCUUUAAUUUCUUUGCGGAUUCUGAUAACCUCGUCCCUUUCUUGCCCUGCAAAGAAGGUAACGAUCAAGGACCACCAAGAUCAGAAAGGCAUUCAGAUUGAUUAGUCCUGAGUGCAUUUCAGACAAGUAGUUAGUGAGACAUGCUCAUGCACAGAAGGUGAACUUACACAGAAGAGAAGCGACAGAUACCCUGCUGAAGAACUCUUGAGCGGAAGGAGGGAGGAACAGGAUGCUGCAGCGGGCGGCGAGCAAUGCCUACUCAUGGUGGUGGGCGAGCCAUGUCCGCACCAAGCAGUCCAAAUGGCUCGACAACAACCUCAAAGGUUUGGCUUUCUUGAACACACCAUCCAAUCCAUUUACAUACAAGCUUAACACAUUAAGUCAUUAACACCUGGGUCCGAUUGCUUUGUUUUUCAUUUUAGCAAGUCAAUGCAUGCUGAUUCAUAAGCAACAUUACCUUCAUCGUAGUGUUACGAUGUGACCAAGGAGAAAAUGAUUUAUCUGAACAGUUUCAUUUCUUGGUCCGAACUUGCAUAGUUACCUGCAAAAGAGCAUCUGGUCUAUAGUAAAUACACAUAUCCUAUUCCAGAUGAUUAUGUAAUUCAUGAAUGUAUCAGCUAAGCAUAGGUAUAUAGUCGCAUGCCAAAAAGAAGUAUAACGAUGUCUGCACUCUGGGCACUCAGAGCAAGAAAUACUAUGCAUUUCAUGCUAGUUUGGUUGGUGUCAUCUUAGUAGUGAUGUAUGCUACAGUUCUUCACAGUCAGAACGUGGUACAUCAUUCUGUGCAAUAGAUAGUCACAAACUUCAAGGCAGUUAAGUCCAUAAAAAGAACUGAAACCUCUGUUACAAAUCAACUCCCUAACAUUUACAAUUGCUUUGAACUCUACAUAUUAUUUUCUACAUUGAGUAUAAUGAAACAUCCUUCAAGAUGUAUUUGUGCAAUCCUGACAAUUUGGAAAAUGAUUUUUUAGCAUUUCUUUCCAAACAGCCAGCAUCUCCUUAUGUUUGUCUAUGUGCAGAUAUGGAAGAUAGGGUCAAGUGUAUUCUCUUCCUCCUUGGGGAGGAAGCUGAUUCCUUUGCCAAGAGGGCAGAAAUGUAUUACAAGCGACGACCAGAGGUGAUCAGUUCAGUGGAAGAAGCAUACCGGGCAUACAGGGCCCUUGCUGAACGCUAUGACCAUAUGUCAGGGGAGUUACACAAAGCAAACCAUACAAUUGCAUCUACCUUCCCUGAUCAGAUUCAGUAUUCAUUGCUAGAAGAGGAUGAUGACAAUCUCCCAAAAGCUUAUACCAAGGUCGAUCCUCGCAAAAUUCACAAGUCAACAGUGGAGGGACUAAUGAAGAAGAAGCAUAGAGAGAAAUCAAGACCAAAAGAUGGAGGAAAGAAGUCUGCAGUUCCAAUGAACAAGGAUAAUGCACAAGCUGAGAUCAGCAGGCUACAGAAAGAGAUAUUAGUCCUGCAGACGGAGAAAGAGUUCAUCAAAAGCUCUUACGAGAGUGGAAUUGCAAAAUACUGGGAUCUUGAGAAACAAAUUAACGAAAUGCAGGAAGAAGUUUGCUACUUCCAAGACGAGUUCAAUGAAAGUGCAGUGAUAGAGGAUGAUGAGGCCAGGGCUUUGAUGACAGCAACUGCUCUUAAAUCUUGUGAAGACGCCAUUAUCAAAAUGCAGGAGCAACAGAAGUCAUUUUUCAGCCAAGCAAUGAUUGAGUCCGCAAGAGUUAAGGUUUCUAGGGAGAAGCUGAAGGGUAUCAUGAGAGUACAUGGUAAAUCUCUAUCAUAUUCAGGAAAUUCUGCAGAUGAGAAUGUUAAAACCGAUGCCGGUGCUAGGAGAGAUGAAUUGUUCUCCAUGAAGCAGGAGAAAUUUGAACUGCAAGAACUAGUAGAAAAGAUCAAGGGAUACUUUGAGAUGGACUCUGAUCUUUCUGUGGUAGAGAUUGCAGAGAAAAUUGAUGAACUAGUUAACAAAGUUGUUGAUUUGGAGCUCAUGAUUUCAACACAGACUGCACAGAUAAAUAGGCUGUGUCUAGAAAACAAUGAGCUGGAGAAGUCAUUGCAGAAAUUGGAGGAAGAGGAGACAGAACAAAAUGACUCAGUGAAUUAAAUGAGAGGCUCAAGGAGGCAGAAAAGGAGCUUAUUAGAGUGCAUAACCUUGAGAGAUCCUACCAUGCAGAAGAAAGAAUAGUCUGUGCAAAUUUCACCGAAACAAUAAAUAGUUUCUGUGACAUUUCACAUAUGCUGCAAUCACCUCUCAUUGAGCACCCAGUUGUUUCAAGAUGCAUGCUGACUGAUGAAGCAACACCAUCCACUGACACUGAACAAUCAGGUGAGCAUAGCAAAACAAGCCCAUUAGAAGAUCCUGAGAUGGAUGAAGCUGCAAGGAAGCCACAAGUAGAUGGAUUUCUUGAUCAUCCAGAUACACCAGAGCCAGCUAUCUUCAGCGAUGACAGUAAGUCAUCUAGUGGCUACCAUGAGAGUAAAGCAGAAAAGCAUUGUCACGUAGAUAAAAUACAGGACUUAAGCUGUUGUGAGUUUGAAGAUAAGUUAAUUGAAGCCGCAUCAGUACCAGUGGAUGUGGGAACAACAGAAACUGCAGAUCAGACUUCAUCUGAUGAUAAUAACAAUGGAGAAUCAGAUCAUGUUCUCGAAAUCACUAGUAACACUGGAAGCAGUGUGCAACAAGAUAUUGUGCACUGCCAUGAGAGCGAUUCAUUAGAAGACGUGCAUCAGAUUUCCUCCAAUAGUCAAGGAGAAAAUUUGAAACAAGAGGACAAUAUGAUAUAUAACUCAACACCAUGUAACAGCAUCUUUGAAGGCAGCUCAGAACAGAAGAUAGAGAUGAACAAAGAAGAAGCUUCAUAUAUCAUCAAAAAUCCAAUUCCUACAAAUGGGAAAGUUGCUGGUGUUGGAGAUCAAGAGGAUAGCAUGAUUAAUCUACAGCAGUUGCUUAUGAAUGGACUCCAAGAUAAGGAAAAGGUACUAUUGGCCGAAUACACUUCCAUCCUCCGAAACUAUAAGAAUGCAAAGCGAAAGCUUACAGAAGCAGAGACAAUGAACCAGGAAUGCUUGAAUGAGAUGAGAGCCACGAUAAGUGAACUAGAGUGUGCCAAUGGAAUGAAGGAUGCAGAGAUUCGGUCACUCCAUGAGCUCUUGAAAUCUUUAACUUACAAAGAUGCAUUGCAAAGUGGUCAUCAAUUGAAUUCAACCAUGUCCCUAAGUGAGAAGAAUGGAAUGAUUAGGGGUCACCGAAGGACUCCAAGUUUUUUGUCAGUUCAUCAGAGGGCACAAAGUGUUUCCUCUAUUCCCAGUAGAAUAAUAAAUAGUUCUAGCCUGAAAAAUAAACCAAGUAUUGAUGCAUCACAUGAUGCUGUUACAAAUCAGAAAAGCAUUAUUCAGGAGGAGCCCACAUCAACAAAUGUAGUUGAGAUGGAUAAAGCAUCACCUCUUGAAAAAAAGUUCAGAAGAGACAUUGAUACGCUUCUGGAGGAGAACCUAGCAUUCUUGAUGAAGUUCAGCAUGUUAUUCCAACAGAUACAAGGAUUUCAGACCAAGUAUGAUCAACUACAAGCUGAGAUUAGUAAGCUAAAGCCAAACAAGGAUCAUACCAAUGAUCAACCUGCAAAAUUGGAAAUGGAAGCAACAGAAAAGAGGCUAAGAGAACUCAAGAUUGAACUGCAAGUAUGGUUGGAACAGAAUGCAAUGUUCAAAGGGGAACUCCAGUGUAAGUUUGAUUCCCUAUGCAGCAUACAAGCGGAGAUUGAAGGAACCAUGGAGAUGGAUGCAGACACCGUGGACAGAGCUAGAUUCACUUCAUAUCAUGUUGCAAAAUUUCAGGGGGAGAUUUUGAACAUGAAGCAGGAGAACAACAAAGUUGCUGAUGAACUGCAGGCUGGUUUGGAUCAUGUGAAAGGGCUACAAAAAGAAAUUGAAAAGGAUUUGGCAAAGAUACUGAGCACCAGCUUAUCUGGGCCCAAAUCUAGCACCACCUGGAGGAAUGCACCCUCUAAAUCAAGAGUACCGCUCCGGAUGUUCCUCUUUCCAGCCAAGAAAAAGAAACCAUCGCUGUUUGCAUGUGUAAAUCCAACGCUUCUUUCAAAGCAGAAUAGCGACAUGGCAUUCUUCACUAAAAUGAGCUAGGUAUGUAUGCCAAUUUGUCCAAAUGCCUCAAAUUUCACCUAUAUUAGUAUGUGAUUUGGCUUAACAUAUUAUUGUUAUGAUCAGGUCUUCCAGAUGGAACGAAAGUCAUCAUCAAGCCAGCAAAGUAGCAAGCAGAACUUUAAAUUAGUAAUAUUAGGUUUUGUCCUGAUGCCAGAAUGCUAUGUUCGGCUUAUGUUAAGGUUCUUGCAAUGCACUCACUGGGAUCAAUUAGCGUUUGCUAACCAGUUGAGUCUAUUCAAGGGGGAUAUGAAUACUCUGUACCUUUUGACAUCUAUAGCUUGUGAAAUAAUUUAGAAAAUAGAAAAAUUUAAUUUCCAUAGCAGUAAUGUGCGCUGAACUAAAUUUAAUUGGCAGUGUAUCGCAUGACAAAUUUCACUUGUGUCAUUCAUUAAGGGUCAAAAUACGUGCACUGUGGCAGCAGGUGGUAAAUGGUAAGUACCUUGUAAUUUGAGGCCGCGAACGGUUGAUCACAGAAUUGGGUGAGGGGCGAAUGGAAGUACUUCACACUGAACAACACAGCCGAAUUCAGGCUUAUUGCAUGGCACAAGCAGACUCAGCAAAGUACAAGAAGACAGAAGAGAAGACAACAAGCUCAGUCAUACAAAAUGGUGCAAGCAACACGGAGGUUUUGAAGCUGGUAGGAAAGCACGCACCAGAGCGAAAGACCCUGAAGGCUGUGUCAAAUUGGCGCCGCAUUCCAUCGAACAGGUCCCUGGCACCUCGGCCUCAAGCGCGCCGUGGCUAAGCGAGAUCCAGGGGAAUAGUGGAUCGCCUGCCCAGGCCAGAGGCAGCCCCUGCAACAUUCCCAAUUUGAGUGCUCGCCGUCUUCUCGCUCAGUUGGAACCGCUAGUGUGGUUGACGUGGCGGGAUGGCUAACGGCGGACGGCGGUGGGGGAGACAGAAAAGCCAGGCCAUCAGCACAUACAGGCGGGCUAACAUGCCAGAUCAUCCUUCACCGCGCGAGGCCAGGUAUGAACGGCUGAUCGACGAGCGCGCCGGCCGCCGGGAGGCGGAGGACGGGCGGCGGCGAACGGAGGAGCGAGAGAGGCCAGCCAUCUGCCCGGAUACAUGAGGACUAAUAUGUAAAAAACCGGACCCAACCAGGGGGUAAUGUGAAAACUAUCGGAUCGCGAUUAUCCAAUACAGGGUCUAUCUGAAAAAAAUAAUAUGCGGUUAUUUUUACGUAUCGCGACUAUUAAUCGCAAUCCAAAACAGAGAACCAAGGAUUUUUUUAAAAGAGUUCUGGGUUGGGCUCUCUCGACAGCGACGUCGCUGGCAUUCCUGUGAGGCCUCACGACAGAUACGGGAUCGGAGAAAAUCAUGUAUGAUCUUCCGCAAAAAGACCGCUAGUGUUUCCGCGGGAGGAGUUCCGUGAGGGCUUGGUCGCCCAAGAGUGUAAGAUUCGAUCGAGGCUUGGAGCGGGAACUGAAAGAGCUAUGGAGAGACGGAUGCAGGCAGAUUUGGAUCACAUGAAAAGGAGGUACAUGAAGAAGAAGGUUAUUAAGAAAGCAAUUCGGAGGAAUUCACCCUCCUGAUUGAUUGCAGCUCCGGAUGCUCCUCUUUGGCUGUAACCAGGGAAUAAAGGUACGUUUGGUUAUAUGGACUAAAAUUUAUGAAAGUUUAGUCGUACACCUAUUUUAGCUUAUUUUAAUCCCUAUGAUGCUAAAUAGGUGGACUAGAAUGUCAACUAAGGGGGUGUUUGGAUACCCCGUGCUAAACUUUAGCACCUGUCACAUCGGAUGUUCGGAUGCUAAUUAGGAGGACUAAAUAUAGUUUAAUUACAAAACUAAUUGCACAGAUGGAGUCUAAUUCAUGAGACGAAUCUAUUAAGGCUAAUUAAUCCAUCAUUAGCAAAUGGUUAUUGUAGCACCACAUUGUUAAAUCGUGGACUCAUUAGGCUUAAUAGAUUCGUCUCGCGAAUUAGACUCUAUCUGUACAAUUAGUUUUGUAAUUAAACUAUGUUUAAUGCUCCUAAUUAGUAUCAAACAUCCCAUGUGACAUAUGUUAAAGUUUAGCACGGGGUAUCAAACACCCUCUAAAUCUUUACUCCUCCAGUGUAAGACGGGUAGACUGAAGUGGACUAAAACGUCGGAGGACACUCUGUCCUCGUUUAUUGCUCCCUCCAGCCCGGCCCCCUCCGCCGGCCUCCCUCCCGCCCGGCCCCCGCCGCCCUCCCGCCUGCCGCGGCGGAGGAGGUGCCGCCGGCGAAGUAGCCUGCGUCGGCGGCGUCGCGGAGGGCGUGCUGGUCGGGGUCCUCGAGCGGGACGAGAGGCGGAAGCGAGGGUGACGCCUGCGACCGAGCGGCGAGAGGCGAUCGGAGUUGCGGUGCUGGGGAGGAGAGGAACAGACGGUGCAGGAAAGCCGAGAGCGCGGCGUCUGUGCCCCCAGCGGUAGCGGAGGAUGACGGGCCCACGUGGUGGUUCGACGGCGUUGGCGGCGGAGGGCCUAGAAGCACGCUCCCUCCGGCGGUGGUCCUAGAAAUGGUGGUGGCGGCGGCGGCGGUGGAGGAAGCGAGGCGGCCAUGGAGACGGUCGAAGCGGCGGGAUCGCGGCGCAGGUAAUCAACGAAGCAGAGGGGUGCUUUUGGUGGGAAUCGGGAAACGCAUGUGCUGGUGGUUGGGCGCCGUUUGCUGCGUGGGAAGGAGGCGGUUCGGUGGUCACUGUGAGAAGAUGGUGAGCAGGAGUUUCCAUCUUCAAAACAGAAGCAAUAUCGUUUUUAUUUAUCAGCAUCAAUGCAGAGGUAUGGAUGGACUGAAGGAACCAAGGGCUAAACCUUCGCUGUUCGCAUGUCCAAAUCAUGCAUAUUCAGAAGCAGGGGAGCGACACGGGGGACCUCCUUCAUACACGAAACUGGAGAUUCAUGGAGUGAACAGUGUGCAUAGAAUGCGGAAGCCGAGGCGGCGAACGUGAAGAAAGGAGAGAAACUGGACAGCAAGCCGAAGAUGAACUGACCACCGUGGCGCCGCCGUCGUAGUCCCCUCGCUGCGCUGCUCUUCCUACGCCCCGCCGUCGCAUUCUUCCCGCUGCGCCGCCCUCCCUACGCCCUGUCGUCGCAAUCCCCCGCUGGCCGCGCUCCCUGCGCGUCUCCGCACCCAUCCUGCCUGCGUCUCGUCGUCCUAAUCCGCUUGCUGCUAGUCAUGGCCAGCUACUUCGAUUUGGGUCAGAGCAACAGAGAGAAGAAGCAAACAUACACAAGGGAACUAGUAUGAAGCUUCUUGUUCUAGCUACUGCGACUGAAGAUGGGACCCGCAGGCUGUCAGUAGCGUCAUGAACUAAGUUUAUGCGCGCGCCUUGAAGACUGUUCGCUUGUGGGACAUGAAGUGUUUAGCUUUGUUAACCAGCUAAUUCUAUCCAAGGGCGAUAGAUAUACCAUACACUUCGUGCUUUUAACAUCUCUAACUGCUAACUACUUGUGAUUGUUUUGAUUAUCUGCCAGUAUUACCUGAGAGAGAAAAAACAGAUUUCGUUGUCCAAUGAGAAUCAAAAUGUCUGCACCCUGAAAUGGGGGCGCUGAAUGUGAUUCGGA